CCAGCUCACCUUCCGGAGACAAUCUGCUCCCGCACUGUCUGCAAGGAGAAGCGUCAUGACAUCUUCCCAGACUCCCACAGUGCCAAGCUUCUAGUGAGGAGCCUUUCUAUUUGGUGCAAGCAAGACUGCUUGAGCCCACUCCAGGCAGACAGCAGUGUGUCAGUCACUGACAGUGUCAGUGUGAGGCCUGUGCGUGACUACAUAACCCUGGAUAUCCUUAUCCAUUAGAGAUGCAAACAUUAGGAUACGCUGUGGGAAGUACUGUAUGCACAAUAAAAGAAAACAGCUCUCUUCAAUUAGCGUCCUAACCUGUGAACUGAAAGACUAUACUCCAGGGGAUGUUUCGUCAUUUGUAUCAUGUGACAGCAAUCAAUGGUUAUGUGGAUUUUUCAAGAAACUGGAACACUGUCACAUAAAAAUAGUGAAAUCUUUCCUCUUUCUCCAACUAUAUAUACUUUGCAUGUCGUACAGCUUUCCAGGAAAUGUAUUGGCUUAAAGAGUUGGGGUUCUCUGUUCCUCUGGCAUGCCAUGACAGGAAGACUACCAAGAAGAGUCUUCUAAGACAUAGAAACAUAGAAAGUGACGUCAGAUAAGAAUCACCUGGCCCAUCUAGUCUACAUACACACUAGGGUUCAUUUUUGUUGUUGGAACAAUUAACUUACCAGUAUAUUUUUGGAUUGUGGGGGGAAACCGGAGUACUCUGAAGAAACCCAUGCAAAUACAGGGUUGAUAUACAAGCUACACACAGUUAGGACCAUGGCAUGAAUCUAACCCACGACCUCAGUGAUGUUAUGCAGUAAUACUAACCAUUACACCAUCCAUACUGCCAGGUACGGUCCACACUACACUAAACAAUCACCACUAUGGAUGUUACACAUGCGUCUUCAGAUGCAGUCCCUUACGUCAGCACACCUGACAACACCACAGUCACCGCCCAGGAUCUCCAUGCAAUUCCGAUCUGUGUUCUCCAACAGUAACCACCUGGACACAUGCGCAGGGAAAAAAUAUCAGGAGCUUGCUUCCUACGUCCGGGUCUGAAUCAGGCCCACAGUGCUUUGGCUGACUUUGUGUCAGUCCACUACAUAGCAGGUAUGCAUGUUCCUGGAAGAGGGGACCACAAAAAAACGAAUUGUCUUAUUUAUGUACAUUUGAGUUUUGCAGAAGUGUAUGUGACGUUACAGCCAAAUAAAACAUGUCAAUAACAUCUAAUAAAACUGACACAUCUAAAUGUAAGAUACUGUA